rnacentral:rRNA from 1 species
UACAGAGGGGGCAAGCGUUGUUCGGAAUUACUGGGCGUAAAGGGCGCGUAGGCGGCCCGCUAAGUCGAACGUGAAAUCCCCAGGCUCAACCUGGGAACUGCGUCCGAUACUGGCAGGCUUGAAUCCGGGAGAGGGAUGUGGAAUUCCAGGUGUAGCGGUGAAAUGCGUAGAUAUCUGGAGGAAUACCGGUGGCGAAGGCGGCAUCCUGGAC